rnacentral:rRNA from 1 species
AGACCAACAGGGNUUGCCUUAGUAACGGCGAGUGAAGCGGCAACAGCUCAAAUUUGAAAUCUGGCCCUUGGGUCCGAAUUGUAAUUUGUAGAGGAUGAUUUUGGUGCGGUAUCUUCCGAGUUCCUUGGAACAGGACGCCUUAGAGGGUGAGAGCCCCGUACGGUUGAAUGCCUAGCCUCUGUAAAUCUCCUUCGACGAGUCGAGUAGUUUGGGAAUGCUGCUCUAAAUGGGAGGUAAAUUUCUUCUAAAGCUAAAUAUUGGCCAGAGACCGAUAGCGCACAAGUAGAGUGAUCGAAAGAUGAAAAGCACUUUGAAAAGAGGGUUAAAUAGCACGUGAAAUUGUUGAAAGGGAAGGAUUUGUGACCAGACUUUUUCUGGGCGGAUCAUCCGGGGUUCUCUCCGGUGCACUUCGCCCAGUAAAGGCCAGCAUCGGUUUUCGGCGUGGGAUAAAAGCAGUAGGAAUGUGGCUCUCUACGGGGAGUGUUAUAGCCUAUUGUAUAAUACCGCGCUGGGGACCGAGGUUCGCGCUUCUGCAAGGAUGCUGGCGUAAUGGUUAUCAAUCACCCGUCUUGAAACACGGACCAAGGAGUCGAACAUUUGUGCGAGUGUGGGGGUGGAAAA